UACGAAGGGUGCAAGCGUUAAUCGGAAUUACUGGGCGUAAAGCGCACGCAGGCGGUCUGCUAAGUUUGGAGUGACAGUUGGUGGCUUAACUGCCAAAGUGCUUCGAAAACUGACAGACUUGAGGGCUUCAGAGGGACACGGAAUUCCGGGUGGAGUGGUGAAAUGCGUAGAGAUGUGGAGGAACACCAGUGGCGAAGGCGACUUUCUGGCCUAUAACUGACGCUGAGGCGCGAAAGCGUGGGGAGCAAACAGG
rnacentral:rRNA from 1 species